CGCGCUCCCGGCCCGAGCGGGUGCUGGGAGGAGCGAAACCGCUUCCCGGGCCAGCCUACCCCAGGAUGUGGCAGAGGAGGGCUGGCCCGAUACUCGGGGAGCCUGGGAAGGCAGCCGGCCUCGGCCCGGCCCGUCCGCGGGCCUCCGCACACGUGCACUCUCUCUGCAUUGCUAAUCAGGACCUCUAAGGAGCCUAGGUGGCGCUAGUCCCCUCUCUUGAAACCUUUGUAACUAUUAAGGCUGAAGUGCCAUUUAAAGAAAAAGGAAGGCAAAGAAAUGAGCUAUAGGAAGCCAUGAGUCUGUUACUGAGACAAGAGGAAGCUCAUCCUGUCCCGACAGCCGCAGAGUGAGUUGGCAUGACACGCCGUGAGAUCUCACGCUCACGUGAUACCCCUUGAGCCUGCAAGGAUCAUGAAGAUGGGAAAUCAGUGUCUCAGAGUGGUAGCCCUCUGAAGAUAGCCUACAAGUUAUAUUACCAUAAUAGGUCAACCUGACCCUUUCAGAAAAAAUUCCUACACCUCUGAAGCAAAUUAAAAAGGAGAAGGAGGAGAAGCAGUUAGGAGUCCUUUCUUUAUUUUAAAAUGAUUAGCUAACCACAUAAAGGUAUUGUUCCUUAAGCUACAUCAGUUCUCUGCAUUGAAAGAAACAAUUAAUUUGAAAAUGCAUGUGAAUAAUUUUACUUGGAUGUUUGUGUUCAGCUACAAAGUUCUUUUGACAAUUAAGUCCUAAGAGCCCACCGUGGGUCCAGGACUGUUCUGAGUAUGGUGGAAGAAGGAAAAGAAUCUUGAAGGUGGGGACUUUUUGUCCCUAAGGAAUUGAUAGCCCAGUAGAGGGACAUAAGGGCCUUAAUAAAAUAAUAGUAUCAGACACUUCCCUUAUGCCAUGCACUGUGCUCAGAGCUUUGCAAGGAUUAUUUAAUCUCAGAAGCCCAGUGAAUUAGCUACUGUUAUUUUUCUGUAUUUUUGACAGGAUGAAAUCAAGGUUUGUGUGGUUUACUGAAAUCUCGAAGUGCCGUGAGGAUUAUGAAAAAUCAUAGGCACUAUAUCGGGUUUCGAUAUUGUUUCCUACUUAAAAAAAGAAGAAGAAGGAAAAAACCAAACAAACAAAGCAAAAAACAAAACAAAACAUCAGUAUUUUGAACCAGACAGAAGUUUUCCUCUCUCAUAAACCAACUCUGAAGGCAGACAGUAACUGACCCGGCAGCACACCUCCCCUUAAACACCCCGACUUCCCUGUCUCCAAGGGAUCUGGGAAAUGUAAACUUAAAAAAAAAUUUUUUUAAACAGGUGGUCAUGUGCCCAGCUAAAAACUGGGGCUUCAGCGACUAAGGGUAAAGAGAACAAAUGUUGUGUUAGCAAAGCAACUUGCUUCUCUGCCAUAUCUAUGUGCCCCUCUGCGGGGCACAGGAUAGACAAAACACGUUUUCCGUAAAUCAUAGCUGUGAAACUCAAAGCAGCUUAGAAGUGGCUUGGUUUGUUGGUUUAAAUACAACUAUUUCUGCCUGAGGUUUUCCCUUUUCUAGAUGGAUGCCAUAUCCUUAAAUAGGCAAAUGAGUGAGAAGGGAAGGUGUGCUCUGGACAGGGCUUGCCUCUCCUUUUCCUCCCCCAGAUAUGCCAGGUGGUUUGUCCCAAGGUUUGCAGCUGUGGAAAGGUGGCAGAAAGCCAUGUCAGUGCAAAACAAAAGAUACUGCCUGGGUCCGGGCAUUUCCCAACCUAGUUUUCUACUUACUUCCUGUGCCUUCUUUCAGGGACUAUAAAUGAUACCUCCAAUCCCUGGCAAGUGGAGAGCAUCUGGGGAGCCACACUGCAUAAUUCCGGGGGACACACAGUCAUAGGGCUCGGAGGUGUCCUUUUAGAUGGAGGGCUACAAGCCUGGCACCCCCGGAGGGCUGUGUCUUGACUCACUCUGUGCAUUUGUUUUGAAGAGUUUCCCAAGGAUCAUCUCAAUCUCACAAAUUCCUAGAUCGAGAGAAGGCUCCCAGGUCACAAAAUGUUUCCACUGUGUGGAUCUGAGGAGUCGUUUCCAGCUUUUUAAAACCCUCUGAGGUGCCUUUAGGUCUGAGACUCUAUGCUGAGCACAGUUGGCUUAUCUGAGCAGUGGAGGGGUAGCGGGGCAGGGAGCGUUACUGAGAAAACUCGGGUAGGUUAGAGGGACAGGAGGAGGGGGCUGGAUGGUGCGGAUACAGGCUGGAAUUUCCAGCUGCUUCAUACAUUGGGCCAGGAAGGGGUGGAGGAGGAAAAAGAAGGGAGAGGUAAGGCCCAGAUCCUUCCAUUGCCUCGUGAGCACAUCUGAACUGGUACCAAAGUCUUCCCGAGCCUCUCACCAUCUGCCCCACGGAGGGUCACUGCAGGCGUGCAUGUACGACUUCACGUAAACUGGAAAAAGACGCCCCAUCCUCCAGUGGACUCAGUCCUGUGCUAGGACUCAGGGAGUGGCAAGUGAGGCUCUGGCUGGCUUUGCAGCUCCCACUCAUCUCCUUGGCUGGGAGCCCUUGAGCAGCGAACAGUCUGCACGUUCUUAAGUGGGGGGACUCUGUGGGGUCAGUUCACUUAUCGCCAUCCCCACAGUGCCUCCUGUCCUCAUCCAACUUCUCCAUCUCUCAUCCCUCACUUGGACGUGCUUCGUCGUGACAGAUAACUCUGAGAGCCACUUACAGGCUCCCAUUUAGCCCUUCGUGUUGUCAAGUAAGGUUACACAUUUAUUCCUAGAGAUACAGUGGCCGGAUGAAAAGGGUUUCAUCAUGUUGGUUUUAAACUUGUGAUCUGUUAACAGAUCACACAGCUGGAGGGCACUAUAAAUUAAUUAAAAAUAAG